UGCAUAAAUAAUAAGCGGAGGAAAAGAAACUAACAAGGAUUCCCCUAGUAACGGCGAGUGAACCGGGAAGAGCUCAAAUUUGUAAUCUGGCUGUCUUCGAUAGUCCGAGUUGUAAUCUAUAGAAGCGUUUUCCGUGCUGAACUGUGUAUAAGUCCCUUGGAACAGGGUAUCAAAGAGGGUGACAAUCCCGUACUUUACACAAUCAUCAGUGCUCUGUGAUACGUUCUCUACGAGUCGAGUUGUUUGGGAAUGCAGCUCAAAAUGGGUGGUAAAUUCCAUCUAAAGCUAAAUAUUGGCGAGAGACCGAUAGCGAACAAGUACCGUGAGGGAAAGAUGAAAAGCACUUUGGAAAGAGAGUUAAACAGUACGUGAAAUUGUUAAAAGGGAAACGAUUGAAGUCAGUCGUGUUUAUUGGAUUCAGCCGGUCUUCGGUGUACUUCCUUUAAACGGGUCAACAUCAGUUUUGUUCGGUGGAUAAAGAUGCUAGGAAUGUAGCUUCCUCGGAAGUGUUAUAGACUAGUAUUGCAUACACUGGAGGAGACUGAGGACUGCAGCUCGCCUUUUGGCCGGGGUUCGCCCACGUUCGAGCUUAGGAUGUUGACAUAAUGGCUUUAAACGACCCGUCUUGAACC
rnacentral:rRNA from 1 species